UAUCUAGAUCUACUCUAGUUUAGAGAAGAGAGGAGAGCUCUCAUCUCUAAACCCUAGCUUUUGCUCUGUCUAUGAAUAAUGAAUAAUGAUCAAGGGGGUUGCCUCCUCCAGGGGCCAGGGGGUCUGGUUUUAUAGUCCCCUCAAGUGAACCUGGGCCGUCGGAUCAAACCGACAUUGAUUGAACGGUUAUUCUUGAUCCUUUAGGUCGGUGGAGCAUAAUCCGCGAGAUUGAGCGUGAUUGGCCGAAAAAGGUGGGCGGGCGCCCUAAGGACUUGGGCGGGCGCCCUGUCCCUGACUCCGUUCGGUCUCCGCUUCCUUCCCGUGGCUUCUGGAGUCUUCUAGAUGUAAGAUAAUUGCGCGGCACGUUGAUAUCUCUAUGUAAUCCCGACGUGUGGGCUUUUCUUCCUUAUUUCCUGAUAACCCCCUGCAGAAAU
rnacentral:lncRNA from 1 species